rnacentral:rRNA from 1 species
GAUGAACGCUAGCGGCAGGCUUAACACAUGCAAGUCGAGGGGCAGCGGGAUGUAGCAAUACAUUGCCGGCGACCGGCGCAAGGGUGCGUAACGCGUGAGCAACAUGCCCGUCACAGGAGGAUAAACCAUGGAAACGUGGCCUAAUACUCCAUAGUAUGUAGAGAAGGCAUCUUUUUACAUUAAAGCUUCGGUGGUGACGGAUUGGCUCGCGUGACAUUAGCUAGAUGGAGAGGUAACGGCUCACCAUGGCGACGAUGUCUAGGGGAACUGAGAGGUUUAUCCCCCACACUGGUACUGAGACACGGACCAGACUCCUACGGGAGGCAGCAGUGAGGAAUAUUGGACAAUGGAUGGAAAUCUGAUCCAGCCAUGCCGCGUGCAGGAAGACGGCCCUAUGGGUCUUAAACUGCUUUUGUAUGGGAGCAAUAAGCUUUACGUGUAGAGUGAUGAGAGUACCAUACGAAUAAG